UAUAAUAUAUUUUAAAGUAAAAAUAGAAGUGUGUGGUGCUUAAGAUAGGAAAGAGGGACUUAUUAUAA
rnacentral:tRNA from 1 species